AUACGAAAGGUGCAAGCGUUGUUCGGAUUUACUGGGCGUAAAGAGAGUGUAGGUUGUUUAUUAAGUCGGAUGUGAAAUCCCGGGGCUCAACCUCGGAACUGCAUUCGAUACUGGUAGACUAGAGUUCGGGAGGGGUAAGCGGAAUUCCGUGUGUAGCAGUGAAAUGCGUAGAUAUACGGAGGAACACCUGAGGCGAAGGCGGCUUACUGGACCAAUACUGACACUGAGACUCGAAAGCGUGGGUAGCAAACAGGAUUAGAUACCCUAGUAGUCC
rnacentral:rRNA from 1 species